ACUAAAUCACAUGACUGGCGGAAGUGGAAUUAACCACAUGGAGUGUGAUUUAAAGAGAUGAGCCGACCGCCUGGGCAAAGAUU
rnacentral:ncRNA from 1 species